GGUGAGUGGCUCAAUGGUAGAGUGCUUGCUUAGAGUGUGCGAAGCCCUGGGUUCCAUCCUCAGCACCA
rnacentral:tRNA from 1 species